UACGUAGGGUGCGAGCGUUAAUCGGAAUUACUGGGCGUAAAGAGCUCGUAGGCGGUUUGUCGCGUCGAAUGUGAAAUCCCGAGGCUCAACCUCGGGUCUGCAGUCGAUACGAGCAAACUAGAGUGUUGCAGGGGAGACUGGAAUUCCUGGUGUAGCGGUGAAAAUGCGCAGAUAUCUGGAGGAACACCGGUGGCGAAGGCGGCAUCCUGGACCGGUAUUGACGCUGAGGCGCGAAAAGCCAGGGGAGCAAAGCGGGG
rnacentral:rRNA from 1 species